CUGGACGUCCUCGUCAUCUCUUCACUUACUGCAGCACUCUACAGUAAAUGUCAGGCAGACGACUGGGACGACAACCGACCAGCCUUUUCCUGAGUCUACACAGCACCUCAUUGUGACAUUAUCACUAAAUUUAUGUCGUGGUCCUUUGGGGCUAGAUUGGGGCCACAGAAUGGGGUCAACCUUUUUCAUGGGAAUAAAGAUUGAUGAAAAGGUCUUUUAAAAAUCACAACAGCUCAACAAUGGCAGAGUAAAGAUGACUCGGUGGACUUCAGUCUAUUUCAAAGAAUACGGGAUGUUACGCCCCUGAGGAUGUUUUGUGCUGAGACGAUUCGCCCCAAAAGACGAUUCACCCUGAAACAUUUCGCCCUAGGACAAUUCACACUCAGACGUUAAAAAAAGAUAUUAAACUUAAAUUGACGAUUGUCUUUAUAUUCUUUAUUUUGUAGAGUAAUGUUUAUAAAUAUCCAUACUGAUUAAAAAAUAAAUUAAUAGUCUAUGUUAUAUAGAAAUAAUCAAACAUGAGGAAUUAUAAUAUUAUAGGGAUGAACACUCUCAAAAAACUAGGUAAGUUAUCUCUAUAAGCGAGAUUAAAGACAACUAUCGGGAUGGCGGUAC